GGGCCCGUGGCUUAGUUGGGAGAGCGCCGCGUUCGCAAUGCGGAGGUCGAGAGUUCGAAUCUCUUCGGGUCCA
rnacentral:tRNA from 1 species